rnacentral:rRNA from 1 species
AGUGAACGCUGGCGGUAGGCCUAACACAUGCAAGUCGAACGGCAGCACAGUAAGAGCUUGCUCUUACGUGUGGCGAGUGCCAGACGGGGGGGGAAUACAUCGGAAUCUACUUUUUCGUGGGGGAUAACGUAGGGAAACUGACGCUAAUACCGCAUACGACCUGCGGGUGAAAGCAGGGGAUCUUCGGACCUUGCGCGUUUGAAUGAGCCGAUGUCGGAUUAGCUAGUUGGCGGGGUAAAGGCCUACCAAGGCGACGAUCCGUAGCUGGGCGGAGAGGAUGAUCAGCGACAAUGGAAGUGAGACACGGCGCAGACGCCUACGGCAGGCAGCAGUGGGGAAUAUUGGAGCAUGGGCGCAAGACUGAUCCAGCCAUACCGCGUGGGUGAAGAAGGCCUUCGGGUUGUAAAGCCCCUCUGUUGGGAAAGAAAAGCAGCAGGUUAAUAUCCCGCUGUUCUGACGGUACCCAAAGAAUAAGCGCCGGCUAACUUCGUG